rnacentral:rRNA from 1 species
GACGAACGCUGGCGGCGUGCUUAACACAUGCAAGUCGAACGGAAAGGCCCCUUUGGGGGUACUCGAGUGGCGAACGGGUGCGUAACACGUGUGUAACCUGCCCUUGACUUCGGGAUAACUUCAGGAAACUGGGGCUAAUACCGGAUAGGAAUCCUUGCUGCAUGGUGGGGGUUGGUAAGCUUCGGCGGUUUUGGAUGGACUGGCGGCUUAUCAGCUUGUUGGUGGGGUAGUGGCUUACCAAGGCUUUGACGGGUAGCCGGCCUGAGAGGGCGACCGGCCACAUUGGGACUGAGAUACGGCCCAGACUCCUACGGGAGGCAGCAGGGGGGAAGAUUGCACAAUGGGCGGAAGCCUGGUGCAGCAGCGCCGCGGGCGGGAUGACGGCCUUCGGGUUGUAAACCGGUUUCAGCAGGGGCGAAGCUUGUGGUGACGGUACCUGCAGAAGAAGCACCGGCUAACUACGUG